UUACGGCCCCACCACGUUGAAACACCGGUUCCCGUACGACCACCGAACGUAAGCUACGUCGAUCCUGGAGAGUACCUAGAUGGAUGACCUCUUGGGAAUACCAGGUGCUGUAAG